rnacentral:lncRNA from 1 species
CCACCGAGGACUCGCCCAGGGCUCGCCCACGCCAUCGGGACCGCGCCCCUCCCCUCCCGCCCGCUUGCCGCCUUUCUCAGCCAGGACAGCGAGCACUUCCAGAGGGCACUGCAGGUUUUGUAGCACAGGACAGAGACUUAACCCAGCUGAAUCCCAGUGGGAAAUGAAGCCCUUACUCUGGAGGCGCACCUUUAGCUAAGGGCUCUACUGUGAUGAUUUCACUGCUGUUGCCUCUUCCGGCUGAAGUCACGGCCACCACCCAGACGCUGUACUGGCGAUUUCGACUCAGGGGACACAGAGCUUCUGCUGUUGGCCAAGAUGAAAUAACAAGAGUUAGAUGAUCACUUCCACCCAGAGCAACCAAAGAGCACACAGAGGAUAUGAAAAGGGGUCCUGCAUUUUUAAGAGGGUUUUAAAGCCAUGGCACAUGGAGGGGACCCAAAAGGGUCCUAGCAGUCUCAAGUUAAGAAGAAGACAGAGCUGAGGAGAGGAGGUGGGAAUUCACAGGGAGAGUACUGGAAAUGAGCGUUAUACAGAGAGAACUCCAGAAAUCUGAAGAGGGUUCUACUUGGGCAUUCAGCUGAGCGGAUCCUGGCCUGCACUCGUGGAAACAUCCUGAAGCCCAGGAAAGAACCACCUGAAAGUAUUGGCAGUCGCACUGCUCAGCACUGACACAGGGCUGGGAAUAGUGCCUGUUCCUACCAGCCACAUUCAACAACAUCAACAUUCACCGUGGACUGGGACAGUGCAUGAGGUUCUUACCUCAAAGGGAAGAAUAAUUAGCUCAAGAUCGAGCCCUACGUUAGUCUUGCUUAACAGAUUCUAAAAUCAAAAUUCAGAAAGAACAGAUAACAUUAAGCAAUUUAACUGCAUCCUUGAAUGAGGGCC